rnacentral:tRNA from 1 species
UCCCUGGUGGUCCAGGGGUUAAGACUCUGAGCUUCCAACACAGAGGGCAUGGGUUCGAUCCCCUGGUCGGGGAA